rnacentral:tRNA from 1 species
GCCGAAGUGGCCGAGCGGUUAAAGGCGCUGCGGUCUGGAACCGCAAGACCGCUACGGUCGCAGGUUCGAAUCCUGCCUCGGGCA